rnacentral:rRNA from 1 species
CCUACGGGUGGCUGCAGUGGGGAAUAUUGGACAAUGGGGGCAACCCUGAUCCAGCCAUGCCGCGUGUGUGAAGAAGGCCCGCGGGUUGUAAAGCACUUUCAGUGAGGAAGAACGCCUGGUGGUUAAUACCCAUCAGGAAAGACAUCACUCACAGAAGAAGCACCGGCUAACUCCGUGCCAGCAGCCGCGGUAAUACGGAGGGUGCGAGCGUUAAUCGGAAUUACUGGGCGUAAAGCGCGCGUAGGUGGCUUGAUAAGCCGGUUGUGAAAGCCCCGGGCUCAACCUGGGAACGGCAUCCGGAACUGUCAAGCUAGAGUGCAGGAGAGGAAGGUAGAAUUCCCGGUGUAGCGGUGAAAUGCGUAGAGAUCGGGAGGAAUACCAGUGGCGAAGGCGGCCUUCUGGACUGACACUGACACUGAGGUGCGAAAGCGUGGGUAGCAAACAGGAUUAGAUACCCUGGUAGUC